UGCAAACAAUAUGGCGCGACCUUACACGCUAAACGUGCAUGCGAACAUACCACGGUUAAAUAUGCUCGAAGGAAAGAAAAGAAUACAACACGAGUCCCAUUGCGACGUUCCUGCAGCUGCACUAACUGCGCGAUACAAAACACAAUAUCAAUUGCUUUCUUUAUUAAUAUAUACAUACGUACACGUAUCUAAAUUUAACAUUGGCUCCCGAUAAAGGUAUACGAUAAUCAUCGGACCAUCCCUCUAAAUAGAUGCAACAAGCUGGUGAACAUAACUUAACGCAUCAAUGUUAAUUCGAAGCUUCGAUCACAAUCUGGGAGAGAACGUGGCGCUUUACUAGACGAUGAAUGAGAAUAUGGAAUAAUUUAUAUUCUACGAUUAAUUUACGUGACACCUACGUCAGCUACGAUCCGCCCGAAUAAAUACAGCGUUUGCUUUUACAUUUAUUUUUCCUUUCGAUUCCAACGCGGAAAUUACGACGAGGCUCCAGCAAAGUAUAAUUAACGACUUAAAUGCGACGGUCGGACCUGGGGGAAUCUCCUCACUGGCUGCCCCUGUGGCUGCGGGCGUCUGUGCUGAAGAGGGAUGUUCACCUCUUCUGGGCUGCGGAACACUUGGUUCAACGGUAAACGGAACUGUGGGAGACCUGUGGGCUGUGGACGGGCUGAUGGUGGAAUGCUGUUCAGUGCUGCUG